rnacentral:rRNA from 1 species
AUGGCUGACGCGAUCAGCGCCGCCGGUUCUUGCCUGCAGCCCCUCUGCGAAUGCCUGGAUGGCACAGGCAUGCUGGACGCGGCGGCCCGGGAGGUCGCCUCGUUCCUUCACCUCAAAUCCAACUGGUCCGAUCUCGACAAGGCCAAGAAGCUACUGCUGGCUGUCGAGACGACGGUGAGGGCGCGAGUCACCGCAGAGGUGGACAAGCUGAACAUCUGUGACCCUCAGGUGCAGGUCUGGCUGAGGCGUGUUGAAGAGCUACAACUGGAUGCCAUCGACGAGGACUACAGCCAGUUAAGGAAGUAUUCUUGCCUCGGCCAGUGCACCAUCCAUGCUCACCGGCGUGCAUCGAUCGGCAGGCGUGUUCUUGAGGCUCUAGAUGAGGCAAAUAAACUUAUUGAAGAAGGGAGGCGGUUCAAGAAAUUUGGAUUCAAGCCCCUUCCCAAGAUUGUUGAUCCAUUGCCUCAGAUCAAGACGUUUGGUUUGGAGACCAUGCUGAGUCAGCUCUAUGAUCUGUUUGAGAAGGGCGACUCGAACAUAAUUGGUGUGUGGGGUCAAGGAGGUGUUGGCAAGACGACGCUUCUACAUGUUUUCAACAAUGAUCUUGAAAAGAAGGCCCAUGAUUAUCAGGUUGUUAUCUUUAUUGAAGUAUCCAAUUCAGAGGCGCUGAACACAGUGGAGAUACAACAGACUAUCUCUGAAAGGCUCAACUUGCCAUGGAAUGAUGCAGAGCCAAUUGCCAAACGGGCCAGAUUCUUGAUAAAGGCACUUGGUAGGAAAAGAUUUGUAAUCCUGCUUGAUGAUGUAAGGAAGAAAUUCUGUCUGGAGGAUGUUGGUAUCCCAACUCCAGAUAUCAACAGUCAGAGCAAGCUGAUCCUCACAUCACGUUACCGAGAAGUAUGCUUCCAGAUGAAUGCACAAAGAAGCUUGAUUGAGAUGCAGAUUUUGGGUAAUGAUGCUUCAUGGGAACUGUUCUUGAGCAAGCUGAGCACGGAAACUAGUGCAGCAGUUGAACCCCUUGGUUCCCAGAGUGCUACUAGAGAGCACGCUAUGAAAAUAGCCCAAAGUUGUGGAGGCUUACCACUUGCACUCAAUGUCAUUGGGACUGCUGUGGCAGGCUUGGAAGAGGGAGAGUGGCAAUCAGCUGCGGAUGCAAUUGCUACCAAUAUGGACAAUAUUGAUGGUGUGGAUGAAAUGUUUGGUCGGUUGAAGUACAGCUUUGACAGGCUCACACCCACUCAACAACAGUGUUUCCUAUACUGCACACUUUUUCCAGAAUAUGGAUCCAUUAGUAAAGAGCAACUUAUUGGUUAUUGGUUAGCUGAAGGUUUGCUAUUAAAUGAUUCUGAAAAGGGUUAUCAGAUAAUCCGCAGUCUUGUUUCAGCUUGCUUGUUGCAGGUCAGUGGCUCAAUGUCUUCAAAGGUAAAAAUGCACCAUGUAAUUAGGCAACUGGGGCUAUGGUUGGUCAACAAGUCAGAUACAAAGUUUCUUGUUCAACCAGGGAUGGCCUUGGAUAAUGCUCCAUCAGCUGAAGAAUGGAAUGAAGCUACAAGGAUCUCCAUCAUGUCUAAUAACAUCACCGAGCUUUCUUUCUCACCAAAGUGCAAAAAUGUCACCACUCUGUUGAUGCAGAACAACCCAAAUUUGAACAAGAUGAGCUAUGGAUUUUUCAGAACUAUGUCAUCCUUGAAAGUUCUGGAUCUUUCUCAUACUGCAAUAACAUCACUUCCAGAAUGUGAUGCAUUGGUUGCACUGGAGCAUCUGAAUUUGUCUCACACACACAUUAUGAGAUUACCUGAGCGCCUAUGGUUACUGAAAGAGUUGAGGCAUUUGGAUCUGAGUGUGACUGUUGCACUUGAAGAUACCAUGAACAACUGCUCAAAGUUGCACAAGUUGAAAGUGCUCAAUCUCUUCCGCAGCCACUAUGGUAUCCGUGAUGUUGACAACCUGAAUCUGGAUUCUCUGAAGGAACUACUGUUCCUUGGAAUCACUAUUUAUGCAGAGGAUGUGCUAAAGAAAUUGAACAUGCCUCGUCCUUUGGCAAAGUCAACACAUCGCUUAAACUUGAAGUAUUGUGCAGAGAUGCAAUCAAUCAAAAUCUCUGACCUCAGCCACAUGGAGCACCUUGAGGAGUUGUAUGUUGAAUCAUGCUAUGACCUGAACACAGUGGUUGCUGAUGCUGAGCUUACAACUUCACAGUUGCAGUUCCUGACCCUGUCAGUUCUUCCCUCGUUGGAAAGUGUCCUUGUUGCACCAAUGUCCCAUAAUUUUCAGUACAUCCGCAAAUUGAUCAUUUCACACUGCCCCAAGUUGUCGAACAUCACAUGGGUCCGAAGGCUUCAGCUUCUUGAGAGGCUUGUCAUAUCUCAUUGUGAUGGGGUGCUCGAAAUUGUUGAAGAUGAGGAGCAGUAUGGAGAACAAAUGAAAAUGCAGGACCAUGCUUCAUAUGAACAAGAAGAGCAUGCUAUGGUAGAAACUUCACGGAAUGACACAGGGCAGAGUGACUUCCCAAAGUUGAGAUUGAUCGUAUUGACGGGACUUAAGAAGCUGAGAAGUAUUUGUAAAGCAAGAGAAUUCCCAUGCCUUGAGACCCUUCGGGUGGAGGAUUGCCCAAAUCUGAGAAGCAUCCCGCUAAGCUGCACGCAUAACUAUUGGAAACUGAAGCAGAUAUGUGGUUCAGUUGAAUGGUGGGAGAAACUGCAGUGGGAAAAUAGGAAGGAGGUGGCAUGUCUGGACAGCAAGUACUUCAUUCCAAUCUGA